CUACGGGGGGCAGCAGUGGGGAAUAUUGCACAAUGGGCGCAAGCCUGAUGCAGCCAUGCCGCGUGUAUGAAGAAGGCCUUCGGGUUGUAAAGUACUUUCAGCGGGGAGGAAGGGAGUAAAGUUAAUACCUUUGCUCAUUGACGUUACCCGCAGAAGGAGCACCGGCUAACUCCGUGCCAGCAGCCGCGGUAAUACGGAGGGUGCAAGCGUUAAUCGGAAUUACUGGGCGUAAAGCGCACGCGGGCGGUUGGUAAGUCAGAUGUGAAAUCCCCGGGCUCAACCUGGGAACUGCAUCUGAACUGGCAAGCUUGAGUCUCGUAGAGGGGGGUAAAAUUCCAGGUGUAGCGGUGAAAUGCGUAGAGAUCUGGAGGAAUACCGGUGGCGAAGGCGGCCCCCUGGACGAAGACUGACGCUCAGGUGCGAAAGCGUGGGGAGCAAACAGGAUUAGAUACCCCAGUAGUC
rnacentral:rRNA from 1 species